CGUACACUCCUACGGGAGGCAGCAGUGGGGAAUAUUGGACAAUGGGCGCAAGCCUGAUCCAGCCAUGCCGCGUGAGUGAUGAAGGCCCUAGGGUUGUAAAGCUCUUUCACCGGUGAAGAUAAUGACGGUAACCGGAGAAGAAGCCCCGGCUAACUUCGUGCCAGCAGCCGCGGUAAUACGAAGGGGGCUAGCGUUGUUCGGAUUUACUGGGCGUAAAGCGCACGUAGGCGGACUAUUAAGUCAGGGGUGAAAUCCCGGGGCUCAACCCCGGAACUGCCUUUGAUACUGGUAGUCUUGAGUUCGAGAGAGGUGAGUGGAAUUCCGAGUGUAGAGGUGAAAUUCGUAGAUAUUCGGAGGAACACCAGUGGCGAAGGUGGCUCACUGGCUCGAUACUGACGCUGAGGUGCGAAAGCGUGGGGAGCAAACAGGAUUAGAUACCCUAGUAGUCCC
rnacentral:rRNA from 1 species